rnacentral:lncRNA from 1 species
AGCUGGGUGUGGUGGCGUGCACCUGUAAUCCCAGCUACUCAGGAGGCUGAGGCAGGAGAAUGGCUUGAAUCCAUGAGGCGGAGAUUGCAGUGAGCCGAGAUGGUGCCACUGCACUCCAGCCUGGCGACAGAGUGAGACUCCAUCACCGACCCGCCCCCCAUCCCACGAAAAAAAAACAAAACAAUUUAUGGAUGAGGAACCUGAGACACAGAGAGGUUAAGCAAACAGGUUCACAAAGCUAGAGAGUGGCAGAGCUAGCAUUUGAACCUAAGCAGUUGAGCUCCAGAGUCUGUGCUUCAUUACUCUGCCACUCAAAGCUGACAUGGUGUAUUAGUUUUCUGUGGCUGCUGUAACAAAUUACCACAAAUUUAGUGGCUGAAAACAACAAAAAUUUAUUAUCUUAGUGUUGUAAGUCAGAAUUCCUAAAAUCAAGCUGUUAGCAGCACUGUGAUCCUUUCUGGAAGCUAUAAGGAAGAACACAUUUCUUGGCCUUUUCCAGCUUCUAGAGCCCACCCAUGUUCCUUGGUUCAUAAUCUCCUGCCUCCGUCUUCAAAACCAGCAUCUCUCUGACUCCUCUGUAGUUGCAUCACUUUCUUUGACCAUAGUUAGGAAGAGUUCUCUUUUGUAUUUACCUAUUUUAUUUGAAUUGUGGUAAAAAAACAUAAAAUUUACAAUCUGAACCAUUUUUAAUUGCACAGUUCAAUAGUGUUAAGUAUAUUCACAUUCCUGUGAAACGGAUCUCUAGAAAUUUUUCACCCCUCAGUCUGAAACUUUGUACCCAUUAAACAUCUGUUUUCCCCCUUCCCCUUAUCUCCUGGUAACCACCAUUCUACUUUCCGUUUCUAUGAAUUUUAGAUACCUCAUAUAAGCAGAAUCAUAUAGCAUUUAUCUUUUUGUGACUGGCUUAUUUCAUUAAGCAUAAUGUACUCAAUGAAGCUUCAUCCAUGUUGUAGAAUGUGACACAAUUUCCUUCCUUUUUAAGGCUGAAUAAUAUUUCACUGUAUGUAUAUAACACAUUUUAUUUAUUCAUUCAUCCAUGAGGGACAUUUGGGUUGCUUCCAUCUCUUGAGGGUAGUGAAUAGCAAUGCCAUGAGCAUGGGAUUGAGACCCUGCUAUCUCUUUGGGACCCUGCUUUCAAUUCUUUUGGAUAUACAUCCAGAAGUGGAAUCACUAGAUCAUAUGGUAGUUCUAUUUUUAAUUUUUUGGGGAACCUCUAAACUGUUUUCUAUAGUGGUCACACUGUUUCACAUCCCAACACAGUGCACAGGUUUCAUUUCUCCACAUACUUGACCACAUUUGUUAUUUUCCUUUUUUUUUUUUUUUUUGAGUUGUCAUCCUAAUGGGUGUGGGUGACAUCUUUGUGUGGUUUUGAUUUGCAUUUCUCUAAAAAUUAGUGAUGUUGAGUGCAUUUUCAUAUGCUUAUAUAUUUGUAUAUCAUCUUUGGAGAAACAUCUAUUCAAGUUCUGUGCCUAUAUUUUAAUUGGAUUUUUUAAUUUUUCAGUUGUUGAGUUGUAGUUCUUUAUAUUCUAAAUAUUAGCUCCUUAUCAGAGAUAUGAUUUGUAAUUAUUUUCCCCAUUCUAUACGGUGUCUUUCACUCUGAUUGUAUUCUUUGAUGCACGACAAUUUUUAAAUUUAAGGUAGUCUCAUUUGUCUAUUUUUGCUUUUCUUGCCUGUGCUUUUGUUGUCAUAUCCAAAACAUCAUUGCAAAGUCAAAUGUCAUGAAGCUUUCUCCUGUGUUUUCUUCUAGGAGUUUUAAAGUUUUAGAUCUUAUGUUAAUGGGCUUUUUUCUUUUUUUUUCAGAUGGGGUCUUGCUCUGUCACCCAGGCUGGAGUGCAGCCAGUGGCACGAUCUUGGCUCGCUGCAACCUCUGUUCCUGGACUCAAGAGAUCCUUCCAUCUCAGUCUUCUGAAGAGCUGGGACCACAGGUGCACGCCAUCAUGUCCAGCUAAUUUUUUGUACUUUUUGUAGAGACAGGGUUUUGUAAUGUUUCCCAGGCUGGUCUCAACCUCUUGGACUCAAGCGAUCCACCCUUCUUGGCCUCCCAAAGUGCUGGGAUUACAGGAGUGAGCCACUGCACUCAGCCAAGAUCUUAUGUUAAUGUCUUUAACCCACUUUGAGUUAAUUUUUGUAUACAGCGUAAGGUAAGGAUCCAAUUUCAUUCUUUUACAUGCAGAUACCCAGUAUUCCAAUAUCAUUUGUUGAAGAAAGUAUCCUUUGGCAUUGUCUAUUAUUGGUACCUUUGUUGAACGUCAUUUGCCCAUAUGUAAGAUAAUUUAUUUCUGGGCUCUCUAUUCUAUUCCCUUGGUCUAUUUGUCUGUCUUUAUGACAGAACACAUCCGUUUGAUUACUGUCUCAUUGUAAUAAUUUUUGAAAUAAGAAAAUGUGAGUCAUCCAAUUUUGUUACUCUUUUUCAAAAUUGUUUUAGCCAUUUAGGGUCCCUUGAGAUUCCAUAUGAAUUUUAGGAUGAAUUUUUCUAUUUUGCAACAAAUGUCAUUGGAAUUUUUUUCCUUUUUUUGAGACAGGGUCUUGAUGUGUUGCCCCGGCUCGAGUGUAGUGGUGGAAUCAUGGCUCACUGCAGCCUCAACCUCCCAGGCUCAAUAGAUCCUCCCAGCUUAGUCUCCUGAGUAGCUGGGGCUACAGGAGUAUGCCACCAUACCCAGCUAAUUUUUGUAUUUUUUUGUAGAAAUGAGUUUCACCAUGUCGCCUAUGUUGGUCUCAAACUCCUGGGCUCAAGAGAUCCGCCCGCUUUGGCCUCCCAAAGAGCUGGGGUUACAGGUAUGAGGCACUGUGUCUGGCCCCCACUGGAAUUCUGAUAGGGAUUGUACUGAAUCUGCAGAUUGCUUUGGGUAGUAUGAACAUCUUAACAAUAUUGUCUUCCAAUCCAUGAACACAAGAUGUCUUUUAAUUUAUUUGUGUCUUCUCUCAAUUCUUUCAGCAAUGUUCUAUAAUUUUCAGCAUACAAGUGUUUUACCUCCUUGGUUAGGUUUAUUCCUAAGUAUUUUAUUCUUUUUGAUGCUAUUGUAAAUUGCGUUUUUCUUAAUUUCCUUUUCAGAUUGUUUAUUGAUAAUGUACAGAAAUGCAACUAAUUUUUGUGUUGAUUUUGUAUCUUGCAACUUGGUGACUUCAUUUAUUAAUUCUAAUAGUUUUUUUUGUGAAAUCUUUAUGGUUUUCUACAUAUAAGAUCAUGUUAACUGCCAACAGAGGUAGUUUCACUUCUUUCCUUCCAAUCUGGAUACUUUUAUUUCUUUUUCUUGUCUAAUGGCUGUGGCUAGAAAUUCUAAUACUAUGUUGAAUAGAAGUGGCCAGAGUGGGCAUCUUGGCCUUCUUCCUGAUUUUAGAGGAAAAGCUUUCAGUCUUUCACCAUUGAGUAUGUUAGCUGUAGACUUUGCAUAAAUCGCCUUUAAUAGUUGAAGUAGUUUACUUCUAUCCCUGGUUUGUUGAGUGUUUUAUUAUGAAAGGGUGUUGAAUCUUGUCAAAUGUGUUUCCUACAUCCAUUGAAAUGAUUGUGUGGCUUUUGCUCUUCAUUUUGUAAAUGUGGUGUAUUACACUGACUGAGUUUCACCAGCUGAACCAUCCUUGCAGUCCAGAAUAAAUCUUAUUUGGUCGUGCUGUAUAAUCUGUUUCAUGUGCUAUUGAAUUCUGUUUGCUAGUAUUUUGUGGAAGAUUUUUGCACCACUAUUUAUCAGGGAUAUUGGUGUGUAGUUUUCUUUUCUUGUAGUGUCUUUCACUGUGGUAUCAGGGUCAUGAUAGCCUCAUAGAUUAAGCUUAGAAGUGUUUCCUCCUCUUCAAUUUUUUGGAAGACUUUGAGGAAAAUAAAUGUUAAUUAGUCUUUACAUGUUUGGUAGAAUUCUCCAGUGAAGUCAUCUGGUCCUGGACUUUUCUUUGUUGGGAGGUUUUUGAUUAUUGACUCAAUCUUCUUAUUUGUUAUU